UACGUAGGGUGCAAGCGUUGUCCGGAAUUAUUGGGCGUAAAGAGCUCGUAGGCGGUUUGUCGCGUCUGCUGUGAAAACUCGGGGCUUAACCCCGGGCCUGCAGUGGGUACGGGCAGACUAGAGUGCGGUAGGGGAGUGUGGAAUUCCCGGUGUAGCGGUGAAAUGCGCAGAUAUCGGGAGGAACACCCGUAGCGAAGGCGGCACUCUGGGCCGUGACUGACGCUGAGGAGCGAAAGCGUGGGGAGCAAACAGG
rnacentral:rRNA from 1 species